CUACAAAUUUUUAUUUUUGGACUCCUGCAGUGGCAUUGCCUAUGUAUCUAUUAGCAGUGUUGCUUGAGAAAUUCAAAAGCAGGUCUGUUCUUGCUUCUGUGAGGUCUCAGAGUGGAAGAUCAAGGGCGUUAGAUCCCCAUGAAUGAUACUUUUUUAAAACUUUUUGGUGGAUUCACAUCUUAGUCUCUAUUGCUUGUAUAAUAAAAUGCU